rnacentral:rRNA from 1 species
CCUACGGGAGGCAGCAGUGAGGCAUAUUGGUCAAUGGGCGCGAGCCUGAACCAGCCAAGUCGCGUGAAGGAAGACGGUCCUAUGGAUUGUAAACCUCUUUUGUCGGGGCGCAAAAUACGCCACGCGUGGCUUUCCGAGAGUACCCGAAGACAAAGCAUCGGCUAACUCCGUGCCAGCAGCCGCGGUAAUACGUAGGGGGCCAGCGUUAUCCGGAUUUACUGGGUGUAAAGGGCGGGUAGGCGGGAGAGCAAGUCAGACGUUAAAUUCCAGGGCUCAACCCUGGAACUGCGUGUGAAACUGGUUGUCUUGAGUGAGUGAGAAGUAUGCGGAAUGCGUGGUGUAGCGGUGAAAUGCAUAGAUAUCACGCAGAACUCCGAUUGCGAAGGCAGCAUACCGGCGCUCAACUGACGCUCAUGCACGAAAGUGUGGGUAUCGAACAGGAUUAGAUACCCCGGUAGUC